rnacentral:rRNA from 1 species
CCCUUAGAUGUCCGGGGCUGCACGCGCGCUACACUGAAGGAAUCAGCGUGCUAAAACCAUUGUCGAAAGACAUUGGUAAACCCAUUAAAAUCCUACGUGAUUGGGAUCGGGAAUUGCAAUUAUUUCCCUUGAACGAGGAAUUCCCAGUAAGUGUGGGUCAUAAGCUCGCGUUGAUUACGUCCCUGCCCUUUGUACACACCGCCCGUCGCUGCCCGGGACUGAGCCGUUUCGAGAAAAGCGGGGACUGCUGCUGUCGGGGCUUUCGGGCCUUGGCUUCGGUGGAAACCGCUUUAAUCGCAGUGGCUUGAACCGGGCAAAAGUCGUAACA